GUAGAUCAUCAAUAUAGUGGCUUCCUUGCUCCAUGUCUGAUACCUUAACCAACAAUUUUUCAACUCCUUUGAUGGACAGCUAAGUAAAUCAACAAGCAAAACAAAGUAAUAUUCCAUGAAGUAGCUAAACAAAAUUAACCAAAUAAAGAUGAACCUGCAUCAAAAACAGGAAUAACAGGAUACCAUCCCUUCAGCAUUCUUAAUACACUAAACAUCACCAACAGUUCUUGAUCUAUCAUAUACUUGUAAAGCCAUGAUAAAUUCCUUUUUCCUCUUCUCCCCCCUUUCUGGGUUUUCAUUCUUUUUACUAAUCUGUCGGUUGCAAACCAUCGAUUUAUCCUGUUUCAAUAUGAAACUACUUGAGAAUGCAUUUACAAGAUCCAAAGGGUGGAAGGCGAGA
rnacentral:lncRNA from 1 species